rnacentral:tRNA from 1 species
UUGGCAUAGUGGUUAAGUGCUAUGGCUGCUAACCAAAAGGUUGGCAGUUCGAAUCUGCCA